rnacentral:rRNA from 1 species
CAGCAGCCGCGGUAAUACGAAGGGGGCUAGCGUUGUUCGGAUUUACUGGGCGUAAAGGGCGCGUAGGCGGACUGAUAAGUCAGGGGUGAAAUCCCAAGGCUCAACCUUGGAACUGCCUUUGAUACUGUUUGUCUUGAGUUCGAGAGAGGUAAGUGGAACUGCGAGUGUAGAGGUGAAAUUCGUAGAUAUUCGCAAGAACACCAGUGGCGAAGGCGGCUUACUGGCUCGAAACUGACGCUGAGGCGCGAAAGCGUGGGGAGCAAACAGGAUUAGAUACCCGUGUAGUCCCUGUCUCUUAUAC